UUAAAUUGAAGAGUUUGAUCAUGGCUCAGAUUGAACGCUGGCGGCAGGCCUAACACAUGCAAGUCGAACGGUAACAGGAAGCAGCUUGCUGCUUCGCUGACGAGUGGCGGACGGGUGAGUAAUGUCUGGGAAACUGCCUGAUGGAGGGGGAUAACUACUGGAAACGGUAGCUAAUACCGCAUAACGUCGCAAGACCAAAGAGGG
rnacentral:rRNA from 1 species